GACAGCAGUCGCCGCGGUAAUACGGAGGGGGCUAGCGUUGUUCGGAAUUACUGGGCGUAAAGCGCACGUAGGCGGCUUGGUAAGUUAGAGGUGAAAGCCCGGAGCUCAACUCCGGAAUUGCCUUUAAGACUGCCGAGCUAGUAGGUGAGAGAGGUAAGUGGAAUUCCGAGUGUAGAGGUGAAAUUCGUAGAUAUUCGGAAGAACACCAGUGGCGAAGGCGGCUUACUGGCUCAUUCUAGACGCUGAGGUGCGAAAGCGUGGGGAGCAAACAGGAUUAGAUACCCCCGUAGUCCCUGUCUCUUAUAA
rnacentral:rRNA from 1 species